rnacentral:rRNA from 1 species
UACGAAGGGGGCUAGCGUUGCUCGGAAUUACUGGGCGUAAAGCGCACGUAGGCGGACUGUUAAGUCGGGGGUGAAAUCCUGGGGCUCAACCUCAGAAUUGCCUCCGAUACUGGCAGUCUCGAGUGCGGGAGAGGUGAGUGGAAUUCCCAGUGUAGAGGUGAAACUCGUAGAUAUUGGGAAGAACACCAGUGGCGAAGGCAGCUCGCUGGGACGUUACUGACGCUGAGACGCGAAAGCGUGGGGAGCAAACAGG